GCAUUAAUGGGGUAGUGGUAACCUGGGUCGUUGCCAGCUCGAGAGUGAUCUCGACCCGCCGGGGGUUCGAUUCCCCCUUAAUGCA
rnacentral:tRNA from 1 species